rnacentral:pre_miRNA from 1 species
ACUACCUCCAUCCCAAAAUACUUGUUUGUAACAUUUGAUCAUUCGUCUUAUUCAAAAAAUUAUAGAAUUAUUAUUUAUUUUGUUUAUGACUUGCUUUAUUAUCAAAAGUAUUUUAAGCAUGACUUAUACUUUUUUAUAUUUACACUAAUUUUUCAAAUAAAACGAAUGGUCAAACGUUACAAGCAAAAAGUCAAAGUGACUACUAAU